rnacentral:rRNA from 1 species
UGCUUUUGUACGGAACGAAACGGUCCUUUCUAAUACAAGGGGCUAAUGACGGUACCGUAAGAAUAAGCACCGGCUAACUACGUGCCAGCAGCCGCGGUAAUACGUACGGUGCGAGCGUUAAUCGGAAUUACUGGGCGUAAAGCGUGCGCAGGCGGUUAUAUAAGACAGAUGUGAAAUCCCCGGGCUCAACCUGGGACCUGCAUUUGUGACUGUAUAGCUAGAGUACGGUAGAGGGGGAUGGAAUUCCGCGUGUAGCA